CGCCUGGUUACGAAACAAAAAUGGACGCUCGUUAGAUACGAUAAAAGGUGCUGGUUCAUUUUGACAGCAGGACGGUGGUCAUGGAAGUCGAAAUCCGCUCAGAAGUGUGUAACAACUCACCUGCCGAAUGAACCAGCCCUGGAAAUGAAUGGCGCUGAAGCGGGCUACCGAUACCAAGCCAUUGCUACGAUCUAGUACUUUAUACACGACUUUGAGUAGCAAUG
rnacentral:ncRNA from 1 species